GACGAACGCUGGCGGCGUGCUUAACACAUGCAAGUCGAACGAAGAGCGAUGGACGCUUGCUUCUAUCAAUCUUAGUGGCGAACGGGUGAGUAACGCGUAAUCAACCUGCCCUUCAGAGGGGGACAACAGUUGGAAACGACUGCUAAUACCGCAUACGAUCUAAUCUCGGCAUCGAGGAUAGAUGAAAGGUGGCCUCUACAUGUAAGCUAUCACUGAAGGAGGGGAUUGCGUCUGAUUAGCUAGUUGGAGGGGUAACGGCCCACCAAGGCGAUGAUCAGUAGCCGGUCUGAGAGGAUGAACGGCCACAUUGGGACUGAGACACGGCCCAGACUCCUACGGGAGGCAGCAGUGGGGAAUCUUCCGCAAUGGACGAAAGUCUGACGGAGCAACGCCGCGUGAGUGAUGACGGCCUUCGGGUUGUAAAGCUCUGUUAAUCGGGACGAAAGGCCUUCUUGCGAAUAGUGAGAAGGAUUGACGGUACCAGAAUAGAAAGCCACGGCUAACUACGUG
rnacentral:rRNA from 1 species